rnacentral:tRNA from 1 species
GUGGCUCAGUGGUAGAGCGCUUGCCUUGCAUGCAUGAGGCCAUGGGUUCAAUUCCUC